ensembl:lncRNA TRAM2-AS1 TRAM2 antisense RNA 1 (head to head)
CUCCUCGUCCCGCGCCAGCGCCGCGCCCGGCCGCAUUCUCGGGGCCCGAGGCUCAGCCGCUCGCGGUGGAGAAAGCAGGCCGCGGAGGAGGCGGGCGCCCAGGCCUGCCCGGACAGGAAGUGGGCCCAGCUUUCCCACUCCUCGCUCCGCUCCUUCCUCCGCGGGAAGGGCAGGCCCCGGAGGCAGCGAGCGCCCCGGGGGUGGCCGGGCAGCCGGAUGCUCCCGGGGUUGCGGGCUGUGGCCCCGGGGGCUGAGGGCGGCGCGGGUGCGGCGGAAGCAGGGAAGCCGCGAACCGGCCUUCUGGCUGGCCACAGCGCCCUGCACGGACGAUCAGUGAAUGGAGAUUACUCAAGUAUUUAUCGAGAACUUGCAGUGGGCUAGGCACAGUUCAGGUAGAUCAACAAACCGAAAGACCCUGCCCUAGGGGAGCUUUCGCUCCAAUGCGGGGAGAGGGUGGAUGAUUGCAGUUUUGCCCAGUAAUUUUUGGGACCCUCAUGCCACCAUUAAUUAGCUACACACAUUUCACCGAAAGUCUACCUUACAUAUUAAUCAGAAGAAGUGGAAGAAUAAACACAGAAGAAGCAAAAAAGGAAGGAACUUUCUCACUGAAAGUUUCUAUUUAAUAUUAAGUCUUAAAAGUACUCCUGGAAGGACAAAAGGUGUUCUUAAUAAAUUAUAUUCGCAAAUAUUGGAUUUAAUCCUACCAGUAAUGAAGCAGUCAGUUACUUUCUAGAUGUGCAGAAAUACGUAAUGAACAAAAAAAACUAAUUCCUAUUCCAUUUUUUAUUAGGUCCACAGUUAUUUCACUUCUAAAUAAAUAUGGUUUUUUAAAAGUGGCACGCGGUGGAAUGUAAUUGAGACAGGAUGGAGUUCCUAGAGAAAUUUUACUUCCUCAAUCUGCACUCCACCUUACUUAAAAUACAGUCUUGGGUCUGUAAUUCCCUUAUCUGACUCUCAAGGAAAUGACAAAGUAAUGCCUAGAUUGGACUAAACCUCAUUUAACUUCAAGGCUGACCUUUCUCAAAGUUGAACCUUCGUCUUGUGAGGAACAGAAAGAUCAAGAACUCUGAAGCACCUCGACUUUCCACCUGUGAAGAUGUGUUCAAAUUUGCAACGUGCGGCCACACCUAUGAGGUCACUCCCUCUGGAGGAAACCAGCUGCCACUUUGUGAGGAUACUCAUAGUCCUGUGGAGGCAUAUCCUCCAUAUGGCUGAGACCUCCUGCGAACAACCAUCACUGACUUGCCAGACAUGAGUGUGCCACCUUGGAAGCAGAUUUUCCAGCCCCAGUUAAGCCUUCAGAUGACAUCAGCCCCUGCUAAUCUCUUGACUACAACCUCAUGAGAGACCCUGAGCCAGAACUAGCCAGGCUUACCCCUCAUGGUUACAAAGUGGCUGCAACAGCUCCAGGUGUUCUAUCCUUUAACACAGAAUAACUCAAACAACAAGACCCAAUAUUCAGACAAGAAGGAAAGGGACUUUUGGAGAGUGAAGAAAACUUUCCUAGAAACCUCAAACUUCUCCCCAUGCCUUAUUGGCCAGAUUGUAUCCCAUGCCCAUUUCUAAACCAAUCAUUGGCAAAGUGAGUGGAAUUGACGUGAUUAGAUUAACUUUACCAAGAAUGCAUCCUCAGAGAGGCUGAGAAAAAGUCCAGCCUCCUUUGAAGAGCCUGGCUACCUUUCACCUGAACAAAACAAGAAUUCUGAUGAAAAAUGGAGAAUGUAUGUGGAGCAGGCACCCGGAGUGUCUAUGCCAGGAUUUUUUUUCAGUGCGUUUCACCGGUUAUAUUUUUGUCUCUUUACCUUACAAGAUAUGUGGCACGUUUGCCUAAAACAAGCCUUGCUUUCUGAUUUCUGUGCACUAGGCACUUAAACCUUGCAAAUGUCGCUUACCUAACAGUCACUGUCAAGGAGUACCUGGCUAAAGAAUCUCCAGCUAGACAAAGUAGAAGUGUCUGUGCUCUGGCAGUUGAAUAUAUUGUAUCAGGCUCAACAGCACCUUUCACCAAAGGAUGAGACUUCACAACCAUUAGAUCUUCUUUUAUUUUGUUUUUAUUAAAAAAAAAAAUUUUAACACACCAUUGCUAACUUGAAGCCAUUAGAUCUUCUUACCCCCAAUACCACAAAAGUUUAGUGGAAUCAGGGGUAUACCAAGGCAGGUGGAGUAGGGGAGCUGGGAGUGGUCAGCCCCCAGGGCAGGCAAUGAGGGAUUGUGAAUCUGUGAAGAAUUUUAAAGCAAUGAUACAGCUCUAAAUGCAAUGUACUAUCCUGGACUUAGCCCUGGAAAAGAAAAAAGAUAUUAGUGGAAAAACUGGUAAAAUUCAAAUAAUGUCUGUAGUUUGGUUAAUAGUAUUAUACCAAUGUUAAUUUCUGUGUUUUGAUAAAUGUACCAUGGUUAUGUAAGCUGGAUGAAAGAUAUGUGGGAAAUCUCUCUACUAUUUCUGCAACUCUCCUGUAAACCUAAAAAUGUUUCAAAAUAAAAGAUUUAAUGCUAAAAUUGA